CAGGAAGCAGUCAGUCAGCUGUGCCUCAGGGCUCGCCGGCCCCAGGCUGGCUGUGGCAAGGGUGAUCGUCCGGCGGAGAUGGACCGAAGGCGAGGUGCAGUGGAUUCGGCUGGAAUCUUCCUCUGGCUCUGCGCCGGGCUGCAACACAAGGAACAAGGAUGGCAAGACUAGACAGCCCAUGGUGAGAACAGAGAUUUGGGAGACACCGGACCCGACCCAGCUUGGAAUGGUCCAAAAGACUUCGCUAGCAAGUUCCUCACUUCGACUCUAAGCUUAGCCACCCUGCCCAGGACCCAGGACCCAGGACCAGAGACUUGCCGGAUGCCGGAGUGACACUGGAGCAGAUUCUGAG